AUAUUGCAAAAUGGGCGAAAGCCCGAUGCAGCAACGCCGCGUGGGCGAUGAAGGCCUUCGGGUCGUAAAGCCCUUUUUGAGGGGAUGAGGAAGGACAGUACCCUCAGAAUAAGCCUCGGCUAACUACGUGCCAGCAGCCGCGGUAAAACGUAGGAGGCGAGCGUUAUCCGGAUUUACUGGGCGUAAAGCGCGUGCAGGCGGAUUGGAGAGUUGGAUGUGAAAGCUCCCGGCUUAACUGGGAGAGGUCGUGCAAUACUUCCAGUCUUGAGUGCAGGAGAGGGAAGUGGAAUUCCGGGUGUAGUGGUGAAAUGCGUAGAUAUCCGGAGGAACACCAGUGGCGAAAGCGGCUUCCUGGACUGUAACUGACGCUCAGACGCGAAAGCUAGGGUAGCAAACG
rnacentral:rRNA from 1 species